CCUACGGGUGGCAGCAGUCGAGAAUCAUUCACAAUGGGGGAAACCCUGAUGGUGCGACGCCGCGUGGGGGAAUGAAGGUCUUCGGAUUGUAAACCCCUGUCAUGUGGGAGCAAAUUAAAAAGAUAGUACCACAAGAGGAAGGGACGGCUAACUCUGUGCCAGCAGCCGCGGUAAUACAGAGGUCUCAAGCGUUGUUCGGAAUCACUGGGCGUAAGGCGUGCGUAGGCUGUUUCGUAAGUCGUGUGUGAAAGGCGCGGGCUCAACCCGCGGACGGCACAUGAUACUGCGAGACUAGAGUAAUGGAGGGGGAACCGGAAUUCUCGGUGUAGCAGUGAAAUGCGUAGAUAUCGAGAGGAACACUCGUGGCGAAGGCGGGUUCCUGGACAUUAACUGACGCUGAAGCACGAAGGCCAGGGGAGCGAAAGGGAUUAGAUACCCCUGUAGUC
rnacentral:rRNA from 1 species